rnacentral:rRNA from 1 species
GGAAUAUUGCGCAAUGGGCGAAAGCCUGACGCAGCGACGCCGUGUGAGGGAAGAAGGCCUUCGGGUCGUAAACCUCUGUCAGAAGGGAAGAACCCCCAAGGUUCGAACAGGGCCUUGGGCUGACGGUACCUUCAGAGGAAGCACCGGCUAAUUCCGUGCCAGCAGCCGCGGUAAUACGGAAGGUGCGAGCGUUAAUCGGAAUCACUGGGCGUAAAGCGCGCGCAGGCGGCUUGGUAAGUCGGAUGUGAAAGCCCUCGGCUCAACCGGGGAAUUGCAUUCGAAACUGCCUGGCUGGAGUCCUGGAGAGGGUGGCGGAAUUCCCGGUGUAGGAGUGAAAUCCGUAGAUAUCGGGAGGAACACCAGUGGCGAAGGCGGCCACCUGGACAGGUACUGACGCUGAGGUGCGAAAGUGUGGGGAGCAAA